rnacentral:misc_RNA from 1 species
GAUGAAGAACGUAGCGAAAUGCGAUACGUAAUGUGAAUUGCAGAAUUCAGUGAAUCAUCGAAUCUUUGAACGCAUAUUGCGCUCUUUGGUAUUCCGAAGAGCAUGCUUGUUUGAGUAUCAGUAAACACCUCAACCUCUUCUUGAUUUUUCAAAAGGAGGGUGGACUUGAGCUAUCCCAACAACCUUUACCGGUCGGCGGGCGGCUUGAAAUGCAGGUGCAGCUGGACUUUUAUCUGAGCUAAAAGCAUAUCUAUUUAGUCCUCGUCAAACAGGAUUAUUACUUUUGCUGCAGCUAACAUAAAGGAUAAUUGUCCUCUUUGCUGACUGAUGCAGGAUUUUACGACACUUUAUGUGUUGUUCAACUCGAUCUCAAUCAAGUAAGACUACCCGCUGAACUUAAGCAUAUCAAUAAGCGGAGGA